rnacentral:rRNA from 1 species
CGGCGGACGGGUGAGUAACGCGUGGGUAACCUGCCUCAUACAGGGGGAUAACAGUUGGAAACGGCUGCUAAUACCGCAUAAGCGCACAGUACCGCAUGGUACCGUGUGAAAAACUCCGGUGGUAUGAGAUGGACCCGCGUCUGAUCAGCUAGUUGGUGGGGUAACGGCCUACCAAGGCGACGAUCAGUAGCCGACCUGAGAGGGUGACCGGCCACAUUGGGACUGAGACACGGCCCAA